GGCUCAGUAGCUCAGUUGGUAGAGCAAUGGACUGAAAAUCCAUGUGUCGGCGGUUCGAUUCCGUCCUGAGCCA
rfam:Bacillus krulwichiae strain AM31D, complete genome.